UGGUGCAGUGGUCAGCACACUCGGCUGGUAUUCGAGAAGUCCGUGGUUCGAAUCCCUG
rnacentral:tRNA from 1 species